AUUGAACGCUGGCGGCAGGCCUAACACAUGCAAGUCGAGCGGAGCGGCGGACGGGUGAGUAAUGCCUAGGAAUCUGCCUGGUUGUGGGGGAUAACGUCCGGAACUGGGCGCUAAUACCGCAUACUAUCAGAUGAGCUGAGGUCGGUUUAGCUAGUUGGUGAGGUAAAGGCUUACCAAGGCGACGAUCCGAAACUUGUCUGAGAGGAUGAUCAGUCACACUGGAAAUGAGACACGGUCCAGACUCCUACGGGAGGCAGCAGUGGGGAAUAUUGUACAAUGGGCGAAAGCCUGAUCCAGCCAUGCCGAGUAUUUGAAGAAGGUCUGCGGUUUGUAAAGCACUUUAAGUUGGGAGGCGUUACCAACAGAAUAAGCACCGGCGAACUUCGGGCCAGCAGCCGCGGUAAUAC
rnacentral:rRNA from 1 species